rnacentral:sRNA from 1 species
GAUUGUGUUUGCGUGUUGUGAUGCGUUCAAAAUUGUAUUUGCCUAGAAUUGUUCGUCGGGGAAAAGGAUGCAGCUCCAAUUGGGUUCCCGGCUGCUUGCCGGAUUUUUUCAUUGCAUUUGAUGAGUGCGCUGGCAGGGUUCAUGGGGCUCCUCCUGCAAACGGUUUUGUUAUCAAACAAUUUUGUUUGGCAAACAGCCAUUGAAAUGCUGCGAUAUAUAUCUAUGGAAUACCGUGUAAUAAAGCCGCUCAACUGGAGCCAAUAACCACGCCUUCAAAUACAAUAAACCAGUAGACCAGCGGCCACGACCAAUUGAAUUUGAUGGCCAUCAAAAAAUAUUCCGAAUUUUCUUCUUCACCUAGCCCCGCUCAACUUGAUGGAUUGGCCAGCAAAAAGUUUCUACCUCAGCUGAAAUUAUCUCAGAAUCGCACAAGUGUUGGGGUCACAAUAAUUUUAUUUCGUGCUAAAAGUGUCAAAGAGAAUAUUUAUAAAAGUUUAUUAACACUAAGUACUUCGGCACAAACACACUGCGGCAGCACAAACAUAAAGCGAAGGAGCACAUUAGAACUGACCAUAAAACACAAGCAAAACAGUUGCCAAGAACAACAAACGAGGACGACAUCGAGGACCCCAAGACGGGAGCAAGUUGAACGCCCUGGAGCGAUCCCACAAGCAGACUUCAAGUGCCACCAGAAAUAAUACCAACAACCAAGCGGCAGUGGCAACAACAAGGAGCAUCUGCUCUGCGUGGGUGGAAUGGGAUUGGUAGUGAUUUGGUGCACUUAAAUAAAUAAAUGGAUCAUGGCAAACACUCGAAAUUCUAGAAUAUCUCUAUAUACUUCAUUUAACUAGCAUACCCCUAUUGUUAAUCAGUCUUCUGAUUACACACAAAUAAUUUAUAAAUAUAUUGUGUUAAUUUAGUAAGUCUGUUUUAAAUAUACUUAUCAAGCGCAACA